rnacentral:rRNA from 1 species
UGUCUCAAAGAUUAAGCCAUGCAUGUCUAAGCAUGAGCUGAAUUAUAGUGAAACCGCGAAUAGCUCAUUACAAUAGCUGUUGUUUCUUGGAUCUCCAAUUUACUUGGAUAACUGUGGUAAUUCUAGAGCUAAUACAUGCGAGACUAAGCGCCGAUCUCACGUGACGCGUGCAUUUAUUAGAUCAAAACCAUCCGGCCUCGGCCGUUCUUUGGUGACUCUGAAUAACUCAGCUGAUCACACGGUCUAGUACCGGUGACAUAUCUUUCAAGUGUCUACCUUAUCAACUUUCGAUGGUAGGUUAUGUGCCUACCAUGGUUGUAACGGGUAACGGAGAAUCAGGGUUUGACUCCGGAGAGGGAGCCUGAGAAACGGCUACCACUUCUAAGGAAGGCAGCAGGCGCGCAAAUUACCCAUUCUCGGCAUGAGGAGGUAGUGACGAAAAAUACCGAGGCGAUGCCCUUUCGGGUGUCGUCAUUGGAAUGAGAAAAAUAUAAAUCUUUUAACGAGGAUCUAGUGGAGGGCAAGUCUGGUGCCAGCAGCCGCGGUAAUUCCAGCUCCGCAAGUGUAUAUCUAUGCUGCUGCGGUUAAAAAGCUCGUAGUUUGAUUCGCGUACUUAGCACGCAGUGUGGCCUGACGGCUACUACUGUGAUGCGGUACAUUAUCGUUGGUUUGCCGUUGAUGCUCUUAAUCGGGUGUCGGCGGCUGCUGACAAGUUUACUUUGAACAAAUUAAAGUGCUCAAUACAGGCGUUUCGCUUGUAUAGUUCUGCAUGGAAUAAUAGAAUAGGACUUUUGUUCUAUUUUGUUGGUUUUCAGAACGAAAGUAAUGAUUAAGAGGGACAGACGGGGGCAUUCGUACUGCGACGUUAGAGGUGAAAUUCUUGGAUCGUCGCAAGACGGACUACUGCGAAAGCAUUUGCCAAGAAUGUUUUCAUUAAUCAAGAACGAAAGUUAUGGGUUCGAAGGCGAUCAGAUACCGCCCUAGUCAUAACCGUAAACGAUAUAGACUAGGCGUCUGCAUGUGUUAUUUUUGACCGUGUAGAAGCCUUCCCGGAAACGAAAGUCUUCGUAUUCCGGGGGAAGUAUAGCUGCAAAGCCGAAACUUAAAGGAAUUGACGGAAGGGCACCACCAGGGGUGGAGCCUGCGGCUUAAUUUGACCCAACACGGGGAAACUCACCGGCCCGGACACUGUAAGGAUUGACAGAUUGAGAGCUCUUUCUUGAUUCGGUGGGUGGUGGUGCAUGGCCGUUCUUAGUUGGUGGAGCGAUUUGUCUGGUUAAUUCCGAUAACGAACGAGACUCCCUAUUAAAUAGUUCGCCGAUUCUGUCUCGUCGGCGUCAACUUCUUAGAGGGACAAGUGGCGUUUAGCCACGCGAGAUUGAGCAAUAACAGGUCUGUGAUGCCC